UACGAAGGGGGCUAGCGUUGCUCGGAAUUACUGGGCGUAAAGCGCACGUAGGCGGCUUCUUAAGUCGGUGGUGAAAUCCUGGAGCUCAACUCCAGAACUGCCUCGAUCACUGGGAGCUCGAGUCCGGGAGAGGUGAGUGGAACUGCGAGUGUAGAGGUGAAAUUCGUAGAUAUUCGCAAGAACACCCAGUGGCGAAGGCGGCUCACUGGCCCGGUACUGACGCUGAGGUGCGAAAGCGUGGG
rnacentral:rRNA from 1 species